rnacentral:rRNA from 1 species
CCUACGGGUGGCAGCAGUGAGGAAUAUUGGUCAAUGGACGAGAGUCUGAACCAGCCACGUAGCGUGAAGGAUGACUGCCCUAUGGGUUGUAAACUUCUUUUAUAUGGGAAUAAAAUGUUCCACGUGUGGGAUUUUGUAUGUACCAUAUGAAUAAGGAUCGGCUAACUCCGUGCCAGCAGCCGCGGUAAUACGGAGGAUCCGAGCGUUAUCCGGAUUUAUUGGGUUUAAAGGGAGCGUAGGUGGAUUGUUAAGUCAGUUGUGAAAGUUUGCGGCUCAACCGUAAAAUUGCAGUUGAAACUGGCAGUCUUGAGUACAGUAGAGGUGGGCGGAAUUCGUGGUGUAGCGGUGAAAUGCUGAGAUAUCACGAAGAACUCCGAUUGCGAAGGCAGUUCACUGGACUGCAACUGACACUGAGGCUCGAAAGUGUGGGUAUCAAACAGGAUUAGAUACCCCUGUAGUC